UGAGCUGGGGCGAGUCCCAGUCACUGCAGACAGCCCCGGCGAGCGCGGCAGCCCGGGUGGGGUUUGCAGGGCACAGGAAGGGGCUGGAGCAGCUGGGAGCGGUGGGUGCCGGGAGGAAGGAGGCAGGAGCCGGGAGAGCAAAGAACCGAGAGCAUCAGACCCCGGACAGCUCCUGAGAGACCAGACGCUGCUGCCCCCGUUUUGACCUGAGAGCUGAACAGCUGUUGCUUCCCCAGCGGGAUCUGUGCUGGGGAGAGCCCGUCAUUAACCCCUCCGUGCCCGGCCGUGUAGGGAGACCUCAGGCUAGAAACCGCCCCUGAUUCUGCUGACGGCAACUCCCGAGCUGAAACUCCAGAUGACUGAGCCCUUGGGGCUGGGCAGGCUGCAUAAUGAUGCCCACAGCUCACUCCAGCUCAUCCCGUCCUCACAAGGGACAGGGAAGAGAAAUGGCUGCAGUGGAGCCAGCUCAGGGGCCAGUGGCCUUUGAGGAGGUGGCUGUGUAUUUCACCAAGGGGGAAUGGGCUCUGCUGGACCCCGCUCAGAGAGCCCUCUACAGAGAUGUCAUGCAGGAGAACUAUGAGAAUGUGACCUCGCUGGCAAGUGAUGGUUAGGUGAGGGAGAACGAGGAGCAGAAUCCUCACCAGGAAGAUGCUGAGCUAGUAGAAGCACGUGAGGCAUUACUGUGAAGAUCCAAAGGGAAUGUGUCCAGCCCCAGUGAGCCGGGAAAAGCUGGUGAAAGUUACCACAGGCCAGAGAGAGAGCAGGGAAACCACUCAGAGGAGAAAGUGGAUGAACCCAUUAAUUAUCAGGGAACUCACAAGGACCUCAAGGAAACUACAUCCCAGGAGAAAAUCCUCAGGGAAAAGAGAAAGAAUACAUGCAUUGAAUGUGGGAAAAACUUCAAUUACCACUCAGCCCUUAUUCAACAUGAGAUAAUCCACAUAAAAGAGAGAGCCUAUGAAUGCUGUGAGUGUGAGAAAAGCUUCAAUCAUACCUCAGCCCUUAUUAGACAUCAGCGAAUACACAGAGGAGAGAGACCCUAUGAAUACUGUGAGUGUGGGAAAAGCUUCACUCACAGCUCAGCCCUUUCUACCCAUCAGCUAAUUCAUACAGGGGAGAGACCCUAUGAAUGCAGUGAGUGUGGGAAAAGUUUCAUUGACAUUGCCUCCCUUAUCUCUCAUCAAAAAGUCCACACGGGAGAGAAACCCUAUGAAUGUUGUGAGUGUGCCGAAAGCUUCAAUCAUAACUCAGCCCUUAUUAGACAUCAGAGAAUCACCACAGGAGAGCGAUCCUACAAAUGCUGCAAGUGCGGGAAAAGCUUCACUCAAAGUUCAAACCUUACUAUGCAUCAGAGGAUCCACACAUGAUUGAGGCCCUAUGAAUGCAGUGAGUGCAGGAAAAGUUUUACUGACAUCUUCCUUAUCUCUCAUCAGAAAGUCCACACAGGACAGAGACCCUAUGAAUGUUUGAGUGUGGGAAAAGCUUCACUUAGAACUCAGGCCUUCUCUAUCAUCACAGAAUCCAUAAAGGAUAUAAACUCCAUAACAACCUUCUCUAGAGCUGUCAGCGGAUUUUUUUUUUCUAAAUUCUUUUGGUAGUUCCCAGGUAGUGACUGUUAAGGCUGUUUGCAUCAUUUGCACACUGUAGUCCCUCAGCUCCCACACAUGAGUUGCCCACUUUUGAAGCCUGCCCAUCUUUGGGGUGGAUCCUGUGGUCCUUUCUAUCAACUCCAUUGUCCUACAAGUCAUGGGAGUGUGUGUCCUUUCUACCAGGAAUGUCCAUCACCCCAGGUGGGGGAGAUAAGGGGUGUCUUCAACCAGCUAUGUUGAGGUAAAAUCUACCUGGGUCUCAUCACUGUGGUUUCCAUGGAGUUAGCUAGUUUGAGUUCGCUUUCCUGAUGUAAAAAGACAGCUAUUCUUGCAGUAAAGACAUGGGCCAUGGAUAGUGGGUGGGGUUAUCUAGUACAUUUCCUCCUGAUCUGACCUAACCACCAUCACAUUUUCUCAUUGAAACAAACUUGGAGAUUCACUUUUAUACUCUUCCUUCCAGUGCAAAGUUAUUGUUCGAGUCGUCAAGUUCCUCUUUGAGGACAGAUUGUCUCAUUCCCAGUUGUUCUCACAUUACCCUGGAUUAUCCUGAACAGCAGUUAUUUUGUUGACCAUUUUUCUCAUUUAAAAUGUAUUUAAAUAUAGUGAAGAGCCAGAGCAGUGUCAGGGAAAUAAGGGUCAUUUCAGGCUCUGUGACACUGGAAGGAGAUGCAGGGGAAGGACGGAAUGUCUGAGUCACAUCACCCCAGAACUGUUACCUUGUGUGUGAGCCAUGCAGAGUUCACCCCUUCAUAUUCCUUCACUUCCCAAAGUGUCUGGUGAGGUAGUAUUCUUAGCUAUCUGUGCUUGGGAAUGGUGCUUGGAUGUCUUUGAUCCUAAAUCGGUCACUCUGGCAGGAGAUGAAAGUGUCACAGACUUGAAAGGGGAUUUCAAAUGGAUCCCAAGCACCGUUCAAAUCCCAUUUUCCCUCUAUUGGCAAAGCCACUUCUGGGAAGGUCAGCUGUUUCCCCCCCCCCCCUUUAUGAAGAUGCUAAAACUUUUGUAAAUAACACUAAUGAGACAGCACUGAGUGAAGCAGGUUUUAUGGGAGAAUCUCUCAUCCUCAUUCUGAGUUAUCAGAUGUAACCUACUCUGGAAUUUCCCUUUAAAUGAAAAUAAAAGUGUCUUCUACCUCUCUGUGAUAUGGGUUUUCUAUCUUUCAUGAAGGUUCCUUGGUCAUAUAACUGCAUGUUAGUUUUGUUUGACAGAAUGUAGUUCAGAUUUAUUGGGAAAUUUCAGACACAUGACCAUCAUUCUUUACUUCAGAUUUGUUUUCUUCCCUAUCCCUGCAUGGUGACAUGGAGAAAAUUCAAAUGUAGUUCAGUCAACAGGAGAGAAUACUCCAUGCUAUUGGACAUAUUGUUAAAGAAACAGUAGUGUGUUUAAAUCUCCACUCUGAAAAGGUGAACAGCAGCAGACCCCAAACCGUAUAAUUGACUGAAGUAAGUGCACAUGAUCACCAUGUGGUUCAAUUGUUUAAGUCAAUAUUGUCUCAGAUGAUCCAGGGAUAGAAUUCCACACCAAGUGACUUGGAACUAGGCAAAAUGCCCAGGUAUUUGGUUCCCAAGGCAUUUGUGACCCAGUCCCUACAGGAAGUUACUCCUGAAAAGAUCUCCUAGCUAAUCCCAAAAUUUGGGAAAUACUGUCUGUGAUGGGGUGUAUCAACCCUGCACUGGCACUCCUUGAGUUAACUACACCAUGUGGGCUGAAGAGGCCACACCCCCUUCCUGGGCAUGGUCCGACUGGAGACAGAGUAUAAAAGGAGCAGCUCAGCUCAGCCUGGGUGGACUGAGGAGGAGAGCAAAGCUAUGUUGUGGGCUCCUGCCAGGAAGCUGCUAGACCUCCAGGCUGCAGGGGCCAGCCACGCUGAGGCCCCUGCAGACACUCAGUUGACCGCCAAUGAUGUCCAGGAAGAGACGCCGGAUGCUGGGAGAUUACCAAUGCUGGAAGUAAGGGUGGGAAGUGACCAAGGGAAUGGGGCUGUUGCAGUGAGAGAUCAGGUCUGGACACAGGAGUAUUGGUUCCUCAAGACCCUGGGUCAGGACCUGGUUGAGUAGGGUGGUCCCAGGUGCCUCUACCUCUCACUGCACCCACCACUGGAUGAGGUCACCACCUGAAGACAAGCUGUCUUGACCAAGGGGACAGAUUUCUUUCCCCCCAAACCCCUGCCUUUAUCCUUACGCAGCCACACACCCUGCAACAGGAUGUAUCAACCCCAUGACACUGUCCAUAAUGAUGUAGAUGUGGAGAAUACAGAAGUGGUGUUUUUGUUGAACUCACCAUUUGUGGGUGCUAUAACUGUGUGUAAGAUGAAAUCAGUGUUGAGUGUGAGAUGGCUGCAGAAAAAUAGCUAUUUUUUAAUAGGAACCUCAUCUCUGUUAUCUUACAGAGAUUCUGAUCCAGGCCUGUAUCUAAUCCCUAACCACAACUGUACUCAAGGUUCACUGGUGGAAAGGGGGAUUAAAAGAAAACUAACACAUAUGGGAAGAUUCUUUAAUCAUUGAAUAGCUAUUGUUAUGAAUGAAAAUGAAAUUAAACAUGAAGUUACUCUUGAAUGAAGAAGAGACUUAAUUAUGUGAUCAACUGAAUUAUACUGGAGAAAUAAAACUUG